rnacentral:rRNA from 1 species
GUGGGGAAUAUUGGACAAUGGGCGAAAGCCUGAUCCAGCCAUGCCGCGUGUGUGAAGAAGGUCUUCGGAUUGUAAAGCACUUUAAGUUGGGAGGAAGGGUAGUAACCUAAUACAUUGCUACUUUGACGUUACCGACAGAAUAAGCACCGGCUAACUUCGUGCCAGCAGCCGCGGUAAUACGAAGGGUGCAAGCGUUAAUCGGAAUUACUGGGCGUAAAGCGCGCGUAGGUGGUUCAGUAAGUUGGAAGUGAAAUCCCCGGGCUCAACCUGGGAACUGCUUUCAAAACUUCUGAGCUAGAGUACGGUAGAGGGUGGUGGAAUUUCCUGUGUAGCGGUGAAAUGCGUAGAUAUAGGAAGGAACACCAGUGGCGAAGGCGACCACCUGGACUGAUACUGACACUGAGGUGCGAAAGCGUGGGGAGCAAACAGGAUUAGAAACCCUUGUAGUCC